AACGUAGGAGACGACCGUUAUCCGGAGUUACUGGGCGUAAAGGGCGUGUAGGCGGUAUGUUAAGUCUGGCGUGAAAGCUCUCGGCUAAACCGGGAGAGGUCGUUGGAUACUGACACACUAGAGGAUGGUAGAGGCGUGUGGAAUUCCGGGUGUAGUGGUGAAAUGCGUAGAGAUCCGGAGGAACACCAGUGGCGAAGGCGACACGCUGGGCCAUACCUGACGCUAAAGCGCGACAGCAUGGGGAGCAAACGGG
rnacentral:rRNA from 1 species